GCCAGGCAUGGUGGCCCAUGCCUGUAAUCCCAGCUACUCAGGAGGCCGAGGCAAGAGGAUAACAAAUUCAAAGCCAGCCUGGGCAACUUAGCAAGGCCCUGUCUCAA
rnacentral:sRNA from 1 species